AGAGUUUGCAUCAUGGCUCACAAUCAACGCUGGCGGCGUGCCUAACACCUGCAAGUCGAACGAGAAAGCGGGGGCAACCCCGUGAGUACAGUGGCGAACGGGUGAGUAACACGUGACUAACCUGCCUUCGAGCGGGGGAUAACCCCGGGAAACCGGGGCUAAUACCGCAUAACAUCCCAGGGUGAAACUCCUUGUGAUCAAAUGCGCAAGCAGCUUGAAGAGGGAGUCGCGCCUGAUUAGCUAGUUGGUGAGGUAACGGCUCACCAAGGCGAUGAUCAGUAGCCGGCCCGAGAGGGCGCACGGCCACACUGGAACUGAAACACGGUCCAGACUCCUACGGGAGGCAGCAGUGGGGAAUUUUGCGCAAUGGGGGAAACCCUGACGCAGCAACGCCGCGUGGAGGAUGAAGUCCCUUGGGACGUAAACUCCUUUCGACCGGGACGAAUAAAUGACGGUACCGGUGGAAGAAGCCCCGGCUAACUUCGUGCCAGCAGCCGCGGUAAUACGAGGGGGGCGAGCGUUGUUCGGAAUUAUUGGGCGUAAAGGGCGCGUAGGCGGUGCGGUAAGUCACCUGUGAAACCCCCGGGCUCAACUCGGGGCCUGCAGG
rnacentral:rRNA from 1 species